AAGGCUCCCAGGCUCGAAGUUCCUCGCGGCCCACCCAUUGCUUUUGCGUGCCGCGCGCGUCCGACCGGACCGCGCGUGACAUCGGGCGCGAUGGACUACUUCCGCCCCGACGUCAUGGCCGGGCGCGUGGCUCUGGUCACCGGCGGCGGCAGCGGCAUCGGUUUCGAAAUCGCCCGGC
rnacentral:rRNA from 1 species